rnacentral:rRNA from 1 species
UACGGGGGGGGCAAGCGUUGUUCGGAAUUACUGGGCGUAAAGGGCUCGUAGGCGGCCAACUAAGUCAGACGUGAAAUCCCUCGGCUUAACCGGGGAACUGCGUCUGAUACUGGAUGGCUAGAGGUUGGGAGAGGGAUGCGGAAUUCCAGGUGUAGCGGUGAAAUGCGUAGAUAUCUGGAGGAACACCGGUGGCGAAGGCGGAUCUCUGGGCCUUACCUGACGCUCAGGUGCGAAAGCUAGGGGAGCGAACAGG